UGGACAGCAGAAUUAACAGAUUUGCCUGUGACUUCAGGAUUAGACUUUGCACACUGCAAAUAGCUCAGGCUUUUAUUUCCCUUAAACUGUAUUCAAGCAUUUCUGUAUUUCAUACUCCACGAAGAAGGAGGAGGGCAAUGUGACAAUAAUCUCCAUCAUAUACCCUCAGCUCAGAUACAUAAUGGAGCUGAAGAAGCAUUUCCAAAGAACAGCUCUGCUGCUGUAUUGAAGUUCUAUGAAACUCCCUGGGAAUAAGAUACAAAGGUGGAUAAAGAAAUCUGGAUCACAGUGAUAAGCUCCUGAAGAGAAGGCAAGACACAAUAGAGUGAAAAGCAGUAGUGUUAUGAGGCUGUUCGCUCGCCCAUGCACUGUUUGCACAGAACUCACUGGUGAAUUUAGGGAAGAUGCUAUUCUGCAUAGCAGUGAAGCAUAUCCUUAAGUCUCACUGAAAUAUAGGAGAAGACAGGAUUACAAGUCCUUCCCGAGGAGCCGGAACAGAACCCAUUAAGAGCACUGGCCUAUGUUAAGAACCUGUAACAUCAGCUGCACCUCCUGGACUUGGAAUGAGCACAGCAGAUGUGUGUUAUCAACAGGAACAGUGCGGGAAUGGCAGGAGAUCCCACCCCAAAGCUCAUCUGCAAAGUGGGGAUAACACUGAACGCUUCCAGUUCAGAAAGGGUUGGUUUGCACAGACCCCAGCUUCUCCCUUGGUGCCAGGCCCAGGCUUGGUGUCCCCACGAGGUGAGGUUGUGCCACCUCCAGCAGUAGGGAUGCUCAGCCUUGCACUGCACUGCGCCUGCUGUUGGAGCUCAUGGGGACUUCAUUGCCUGCUGAAGCACAGUUAAGGAAGGCUGCAAGAAAAAAACGUUUUAACCCAUCUGCCAAGCAACUGCUUCAAAUUAUAUUUUGUGAUAAAAGCAAAUGAAGCGUAAUUGAGAAGAGACAAGAGAAGCUUGCCCUGAGAACAGAACGCUAAGAAACGCGUUGUGACAACAGUGCAAUGUAUAUU
rnacentral:lncRNA from 1 species